UACGUAGGGGGCAAGCGUUGUCCGGAUUUAUUGGGCGUAAAGAGCGUGUAGGCGGUUAGGUAGGUCCGUUGUGAAAACUCGAGGCUCAACCUCGAGACGCCGAUGGAAACCAUCUAACUAGAGUCCGGAAGAGGAGAGUGGAAUUCCUGGUGUAGCGGUGAAAUGCGCAGAUAUCAGGAAGAACACCCGUGGCUAAGGCGGGUCUCUGGAACGCAACUGACGCUGAGACGCGAAAGCGUGGGGAGCAAACAGG
rnacentral:rRNA from 1 species